GUUCAGUUUGCACCCCAGGUAAUUAUAGAUACUAGUUACGUCAAAUGGAGAGAUAGUGAGCAUUUUUGCUGUAAAACGCAGAUAAAGUAUAUAUCAUUUCGGACGUGCGUAAAAGUGUCAAUUAUCUGUCCAUUAGGCAAGAUAAAUAAUUUGUCAAAGUUGGACGAUAGCCUUGCAUGGUGGGCUGUUGUGUUUACAUAAUUCAAAGUCCAAGGCUGGUUCUUCUUGGACAUGAAAAUGUGCAUGCUUAGGGCCUUUCUGUCAAUCAUUCUUCGGUAUAUUUCGCGCGGUUGAGUAAUGAUAACAUUACGUCAUCAAAAU